UCCCUGGUGGUCCUGUGGUUAGGACUCUGUACUUCUACUGCAGGGGGCAUGGGUUUGAUUCCCGAUCAGAGAA
rnacentral:tRNA from 1 species